UCCACGGAGAGUUUGAUCCUGGCUCAGGAUAAACGCUGGCGGCGUGCUUUACGCAUGCAAGUCGAACGAAGCUCCAUCCUUCGGGAUGGAUGACUGAGUGGCAAACGGGUGAGUAACGCGUAGGUGACCUACCCCGGGGUGAGGGAUAACUCGCCGAAAGGCGGGCUAAUACCUCAUGCGCUUAGCGGUUCGGACCGCUGAGGAAAGUUCCGGCGCCCUGGGAGGGGCCUGCGUCCGAUUAGCUUGUUGGUGGGGUAACGGCCUACCAAGGCAACCAUCGGUUGCUGGUCUGAGAGGAUGAUCAGCCACACUGGGACUGAGACACGGCCCAGACUCCUACGGGAGGCAGCAGCGAGGAAUCUUG
rnacentral:rRNA from 1 species